GCCUCGGUGGUGGAGUGGUAGCACGUGCUCCUGGUGUAGGUGAACUGCGGGGUCGACUCCUGCCUGGGGUU